rnacentral:rRNA from 1 species
AUUGAACGCUGGCGGCAGGCUUAACACAUGCAAGUCGAGCGGAGUGAUGGUGCUUGCACUAUCACUUAGCGGCGGACGGGUGAGUAAUGCUUAGGAAUCUGCCAUUUAGUGGGGGACAACAUUCCGAAAGGAAUGCUAAUACCGCGUACGUCCUACGGGAGAAAGCAGGGGAUCUUCGGACCUUGCGCUAAUAGAUGAGCCUAAGUCGGAUUAGCUAGUUGGUGGGGUAAAGGCCUACCAAGGCGACGAUCUGUAGCGGGUCUGAGAGGAUGAUCCGCCACACUGGGACUGAGACACGGCCCAGACUCCUACGGGAGGCAGCAGUGGGGAAUAUUGGACAAUGGGGGGAACCCUGAUCCAGCCAUGCCGCGUGUGUGAAGAAGGCCUUAUGGUUGUAAAGCACUUUAAGCGAGGAGGAGGCUACUGAGACUAAUACUCUUGGAUAGUGGACGUUACUCGCAGAAUAAGCACCGGCUAACUCUGUGCCAGCCGCCGCCAUAACAC